CAACGUGUUCACAGCUGCACAGAGAGAACAAUGAAACCCGUGUGCUGAUGGUAUAAGCCCCUCAUGUGACAACCAUGAACAUGCCAGCCAACGUUCCCCUGGUUGAGUCUGCCUUUGGGCCAUUGCAAGCUGGCAAUGUAGUCUUAUCAACCUCCACAGCCAAAAACCCAUGAAAUUGUGAAGAUACCUGAUUCCCCUUCUACACCACUUCCAUUAGAUGGCUGCAGGCUUCAGUCUCCUCUGUGUGUCUACGUCCAUUAGAUGGCUGCAGGCUUCAGUCUCCUCUGUGUGUCUACGUCCUUACUCACCAAGAGCUGCUCCACAACAAAGCAUUACAGACAACCUACGAGAUGUCACACAAAAUCCAGACUGGUACAAGGGAGUAGAGCAGCAGCACUGAAUGGCAUCAGCUUAGGAAAAGGAGAAUAACAUCAUCAUCAAGGUUUGUCAUGUACCAGGGGAGACAUCCACUGACCACCAACGGAUCUGGUAUGCAGACCAUAGAGAUGAAAAGGGGGCUGUACAUUGAAAAACUUCUUCCCAUGUGGCUUUGUAGUCCACCCAGAUGCCCCAUGGUUAGGAUCACCUCCAGAUCUGACACAAGUGUGAGCUCCCACUUUGGAGUCUUGGAGGCUAAAGGGGUCAAGUGUACAACGUUAUGUGGACUGCCCUUACCUGAAGAUACAGAAUGGAGAGCUGAAGAUGAAGACAUCAUGCCUACUACUGGCAGGGGCCAGGUCACAUCCUUCUAACAGGUUGUAGCUGUUGUGACUUUGUCAUCCGUGCUCAGGUGGAUAUUCUAGUUGAGAGGAUGUAUAAAGAUCUUCACGUUUCAAACACUAUAAAAGAGAAGGUUGACCACUACUAUUUACCGCUACUUGCCUCGCAACUGAAUGUAUCCCCCUGCUUGGGUACCAGUUCAGUUGUUACAAUUUAAUAUUAAGAAUUAGUAUUGUUUGAAGUUGUUACAUUUUAGCACCUGUAGAAACUCAGUUUUCCAAACAAGGGCCACUAGGGGCAGUGCAAGGGAGUGUUUUGGUGUUUUACCUCUGGUCGAAAAAUCAAGUGAAGUCACUCAACGUGAGAUUAUAAUUAAAUUAUAAUUAAAAAAUUAAAAAACUUGCAUUGGGAUUAUUUUAAAUAGGCCUUUAGCAUAUUCCAUGACUGAAUGUUUCAUACCCACUUCCACAUAUUACAAACCAG
ensembl:lncRNA